GUCUUUUUUCCGGAACAAGUGAGUGGAAGCAAGCCUAAGUAGCGGGUAGGCUGAGUGAAAUUGCUUCCAGUAAUCGUUGCGGUUCAGGUGUUCAACGGUUGCCACUAUUUUGAGUUGCUAAAGCAGCCAACAAGUCUCCGCCGCUUCCGAGGCCGUGCCAAGCAGACUGUUGUCAUAGUCUCUGCACCCACUGGCAGAAUGCAAGGCCAGGGCUUCCCCGACACUCACACGACCACCACAACGACCACAACUACUAGGUCUGCCUCAUGGCUGGUCUUUGACCCAUCGUAUCUGCGUACCUUGCCAGGCAUCUUGAAAGGAGCCCAAAUUAUUAUUAACCUGAUCGGGUUCAUCUGCUCUCAAUUGGACUACUACUUUCCAAGUACGUCCAACUGGUAUGGAUUUGUGUCAAUGACCGCAUUUUGGGUUACGCUGGUGCUCCUCUUCUUCUACAUUUUUCGCCUGAUUGAGAAGAUCAAGAUUGUUCCUUGGAUGCUUGCGGAGUUUGUGUACUGCGGUGUCUGGGCAGCUCUGUAUUUCACAGCUGCCAUAGCGGCAGCUGUCAAAGGCAGAUAUCAAGAAUGUCUGGCCGCUGCUGCCUUCUUUGGCUUUGUGGCCAUGUUCCUGUACGGUGCGGAUGCCUUCUUCAAAUACAAAGGCUGGAAGUCUGGAGAGCCUGCCCAGGGUGAGAGAUCGGUGCCCAGUGCAGGGCUUGGAGCUUCAAACACGGUGUCGCCUACCAGCCCCAACUACCCUGCCUACUAACCAUGCACGCUACUAAGGCAUGCACCCACCCCUCGGGCUAAGACCAGCUUGAGUGAAAAGUGGUGUGAAGAUGAACCUUGCGAGUCAUGCAUUCAGCACUAAAAUGGACGGCCGCCAGGGUGUCAGUGAUGGGAGGCAGCUGCUGCAAUGGGAAACUGAUCGGUGGAGAAGAGGAGUGGCACUUGUCAUACUUUCUUUUUAAUUUGGCUGUAUCACCUUUCUCUUUGUGUUAAUGGAUAUUUUGGUCUUUGUGAACAGGAGUGUGCUAGGAGGAGAGCUAAGUUAACAUUUUGUGGGCAACAUAUUGGGGAUAAAAAGCUGUAGCUUUCACUUUUAGUUAGUUUUCUCUCUCAUUUGCCUGUAUGUUUCAUGAUUAAGAAAGAGGUUCAGCCCGUGCAAAUGAGCAGAGAAGUUUUUAAGUUAUUGGCUGCUAAAGUGCUGGGAUGCAGUGCUGCUGCACACCUCUGUUUGUAAGCAAGUAGUACCAAAGUAUAUUUUUUAUUUGCCACCCCAGGGCAUUGUAGUUUUUUAUUUAAAGCCUUGCAUUCAGAAAGAACAGUUGCAUUCAGCAGAGAUGUUGAAGGCCCUGUUUUUAGUGCAGGUAGGCACUACCAUUUUUUGUGAUUGUGCACAAAUUAUCUUGUAUGCAUAUUUUUAGCAUAAAUGCAAGUAUAAAAUUUUAUUGGAGAUAGUUGAUCGGAUUGUUAUGUACAUAAAUGAUCUAUGAGAUGACUUUAAAUGUUAUGUGGCCCAGUUUGGAUUGUGUAGUAGGCAAAAGGAAUAUCGGAUGUGUCUGUGACUGUUAUGAAACACCUCUUGGGUUGUGUACUAAACAGCUGCAGUGUAAAAACAAAAGCAGCAAUUGCAUCAAGGCCUUUACAUCUGCAUGAUUAUUUUUAUUACUUUUAUUAGUUUGUUGCCAAUAUUGAUGCUUUACACCUUCUUAGUACUCGCUGUGUAUACGUAUUGCACACAUACUGGAGCUGAGGCUGCACAUUAGCAUCUUCAGAAGUUUACUUGCACUAAUGUUUGUUCAAUCCUAUAUUUAGCCCUGCAGUGAGCAUGGCCUUGACUUGUUAGUCCUUCACUGUGGCGCUCUCAUGUAGUACAAAAGCAUCAGCUCAAGUUUUGCCAUUGCACUGAUUGUCCUCCUUGUAGACUGUUCAUGUGGAAGGUAUGUGAACGCUUUGUCUGUAUGUUACAGUCACUUCCUUUUUCUUGUUUUUCUGGGGCUUAGGUGUUAUAAAAUUUGUGCAUAUCUUAUAUUGCAUCUUCCACAAAAACUGAACAAGCACCGAGUCAGUGAUGUGAUGCUUAUGUUCAAUGCCCUGUUCCUUUCAUAGAAAUUAUUUACACUGUGUACAUUUUUCUGUACCUGCAGUAUCAUUGUAGUGAUGCUUGUGUCUUUAAAGUGUUCCUGCCAUUCCGUAACCUUGGAUAAAAUGAAAAUGCAGUUUGUGCGUUCAUGUUCCAUGUAAUUUAAGGCCUGCCACUUGCAGGGUUUUCUGCAGCUUAGCACAAGUUGCAUGCCAUGAAUGAAUGGCCUCUGUACAUGGCACCACUGCAAAAUAUACUAUUUUAACUUGGUUUAUUGCUGUUUAACUUUAUUUUUAAGAAAUGGUUCUCCUGGUGAGCUACAGUAUAGUUCAAAAUUUAUUACCGUUCCACUUGCUUCAGUUAUGUUCAAGUUUCCCUGCUUGUCUGCAGACCUGCUGAGACCAAGAGAUUUAAUGGCAUGUGCAGGGUUAUUUUUUCAUCUUUUCUUUAAUACACCUUUGACUUAUUUAUUCUGGGCAAAGAAUUUUGUAUUAGAUAUGCUGACGUUUGAAGACUAAUGUAACUGCAAUUUCAAUGCUCGCCAGCCAUUGCAAUUUCUUUUUCCUCUCCAUUAAUUUUUUCUUCUGCUGUUGCAUCAUUUGAUAACACUUUUUGCCUAGUGUCCCCACUAGGCACCUGGCUGUGACUUAUCGCUAAGAAACUUUGAUGCAACAUUCUUGUAUCGUGCCAAGGUGUCUACAAAAUUCUUGCUCUUCCUGUUGUAUGAGGACACCUUGAGCAUGUUGAUUGUUGGUUGAAUUGUGCCAUAACGUAUAUAGCAGUUUGUAUCUUGGCUGUAAUGGAGGAGACAAUGAACAUAAAUGUGCCACAUGACUGGCAGUAGCAUGGAUGGUUAUUUUCGUAUGAAGUGGCACUUAAAAAUGCUUUAUUUAGAAUGCUGCCGUGCUGAAUCUCUCUGAACAACCCGCAUUCUCAUUUGCACUUGUUCCCAAACUGCACUGUCAUCCACCUUGUGUCGAUCUGUUGUAGUUGUGCCAGGCCUACAAGUAACGCACAUACCAAACUUGCUUUGUCUGUACUAGAUCAGAGCAUUUAUCAUUUAUUGUUGUGAAAAUGUGUAUGGAAGGCAACUGUGUAUACAUGCAGAGAUAUCUGGGCUGCUAGGGCGGUUGAAGGGAUGCCCACAUAUAAGUAGCUCCUUCAGGAAAUGGCGUCAUGUGUAAAACCACUGCCAAAUGGGUGGAAAUGUUUGUGUGUAUGUGUGCAUGUGUGGACACAGUGUUGGAGAAAGAAGCCACAUUACUUGGGGCCGUAACAUCGAAGACUUUGCAAGUCACCUGUUUCAUGUGCUGCUUAUUGUAGCUUUUAUCACCGGCAUGGUUAAGCUCAUGUUUGUUUCCCAUUUGUGACCUUUCCAGACGUGUUGCACAUGUUGCACUGUUGAAAUUGUCUUGGUUGACUUGUUUUACAACAUGUGCUUUGAGUACAUUAAAGAUCAGUGCUUAUACAAAGCAAAUA
rnacentral:misc_RNA from 1 species